UACGUAGGGGGCUAGCGUUGUCCGGAAUCAUUGGGCGUAAAGCGCGCGUAGGCGGCCCGGUAAGUCCGCUGUAAAAAGUCAAAGGCUCAACCUUUGAAUGUCAGUGGAUACUGCCGGGCUAGAGUCCGGAAGAGGCGAGUGGAACUCCUGGUGUAGCGGUGGAAUGCGCAGAUAUCAGGAAGAACACCGACGGCGAAGGCAGCUCGCUGGGACGUUACUGACGCUGAGACGCGAAAGCGUGGGGAGCAAACAGG
rnacentral:rRNA from 1 species